GAAGCCUGCAAAGUCUCUCAGUCUCAGUUAUGAGUCUGAAGUCAUCGUUACUACUGCAAAAGAACCUUCCCUGCCGCACAGGUCAGGGACAUCAACAUGGUUUCCCGAGACAGCUCGGGUUACAGACAUCAACAUGGUUUCCGGCGGCAGCACAGGUCACAGAAGUCUUUCAAGGAGACUUUACUCAGAAAACGAACCAUUCUUCAUCCUGGAUGUGUUGCUGUUGCUGAGAACCAGGGUGAUCUCGCGGUUGGGCAGCAUGUCCAGGGGAGGACCUGCACGAGCUCCAGGCUGCUGUACACCACCUUGCCCUCCACACCAGCCACCCUGCUGAUACCUCAGCACAUGGAUAUGUUGUUCCAAGCCGCAGCAGCCAUAUUGGAUUGCAAGGCCGUCUUAACGGCGUGACUCAGUACUAAAACUGGACGGAUAACAAAAGCAGAGAACCUUGGGUCCUAGAGGAACAGGCACAGCCAUAUCCUGUUCUAGCUACUCCAGAUAGGUUUGGGGAGGAAAAGGUAGAAAUGAUCAUUACAUUCUGAAGCCACCAGUGUCCGACCUAUUUCCAGAAGCCAAAAAAUUCCUGAGGAGACCAUCCAUCAAAUGAAUAAACCCAGAUCCUGCCACCUUGCAACUUCCUGAGGAGGACACAGAGGACCCAGGGAAGGAAAAACCACCAGGAAUCAUCAAUCCACCUGCAUCCUAGGAACAGCUGUCCUAGGAAUGCAGGUAGUGAAUGAUUCAUAGUUUCCAGUGAAAGGCUCAUACUCUUCAUGACAAAAGACAUCUUCUGUUACUGUUCUAAAACAAGUUUAGCAUCAACCAGAUCAUUAUUUUUAAACAAGUGUGUGCAUGCAAAUGCAUGUUUGAAUGUAUGUCCAGGUGCACAUGCCCACAUGCAUGCAGCAUGUAUUUAGAGCCAGAGGAUGACCUCAGGUGUCAUCCCUCAGAAAAGCAGCCCACCUCCUUUGGAGGCAGCUUCUUGCAUUGAUCUGGAGUUCCUGUUAGGCUGCCCAGCUGGCUAGCAGGCCCUAAGGCUCCUCCUGCCUCUGCCUCCAGCCCUAGGAUUGUGUGUGUGCUGGAAGUCUGGCAUUUCUACAAGGAUUCUGAGAUGGACCCCAGCCUCUAUGAUGUAUACCAUGAAGUUUGCAGCUUUUUGUACAUGAAAUCAGCUUGGUUUAAAUGGAAGUGAAAGGUGACAUUAAAUGAUCAUGGUGUGUGCCAGGU